GACGAACGCUGGCGGCGUGCUUAACACAUGCAAGUCGAACGGAAAGGCCCUGCUUUUGUGGGGUGCUCGAGUGGCGAACAGGUGAGUAACACGUGAGUAACCUGCCCUUGACUUUGGGAUAACUUCAGGAAACUGGGGCUAAUACCGGAUAGGAGCUCCUGCUGCAUGGUGGGGGUUGGAAAGUUUCGGCGGUUGGGGAUGGACUCGCGGCUUAUCAGCUUGUUGGUGGGGUAGUGGCUUACCAAGGCUUUGACGGGUAGCCGGCCUGAGAGGGUGACCGGCCACAUUGGGACUGAGAUACGGCCCAGACUCCUACGGGAGGCAGCAGUGGGGAAUAUUGGACAAUGGGCGCAAGCCUGAUCCAGCCAUACCGCGUGGGUGAAGAAGGCCUUCGGGUUGUAAAGCCCUUUUGUUGGGAAAGAAAAGCAGCAGGUUAAUACCCCGCUGUUCUGACGGUACCCAAAGAAUAAGCACCGGCUAACUUCGUG
rnacentral:rRNA from 1 species